UGACCAAAAGGAAACAGAGGGAGAGGGGGAGGUCUGAGGGGCUUGGAGAAAAUCAACAGGAAUGGGCACGGGGUCUGAAAGCCUCUUGGUCCCCGGCUGAGCCCCCUC
rfam:Echinops telfairi cont1.668038, whole genome shotgun sequence.